rnacentral:rRNA from 1 species
UGAUGGAGCAACGCCGCCUGAGUGAAGAAGGGUUUCGGCUUGUAAAACUCUGUUGUUAAAGAAGAACAUAUCUGAGAGUAACUGUUCAGGUAUUGACGGUAUUUAACCAGAAAGCCACGGCUAACUACGUGCCAGCAGCCGCGGUAAUACGUAGGUGGCAAGCGUUGUCCGGAUUUAUUGGGCGUAAAGCGAGCGCAGGCGGUUUUUUAAGUCUGAUGUGAAAGCCUUCGGCUCAACCGAAGAAGUGCAUCGGAAACUGGGAAACUUGAGUGCAGAAGAGGACAGUGGAACUCCAUGUGUAGCGGUGAAAUGCGUAGAUAUAUGGAAGAACACCAGUGGCGAAGGCGGCUGUCUGGUCUGUAACUGACGCUGAGGCUCGAAAGUAUGGGUAGCAAACAGGAUUAGAUACCCUGGUAGUCCAUACCGUAAACGAUGAAUGCUAAGUGUUGGAGGGUUUCCGCCCUUCAGUGCUGCAGCUAACGCAUUAAGCAUUCCGCCUGGGGAGUACGGCCGCAAGGCUGAAACUCAAAGGAAUUGACGGGGGCCCGCACAAGCGGUGGAGCAUGUGGUUUAAUUCGAAGCUACGCGAAGAACCUUACCAGGUCUUGACAUACUAUGCAAAUCUAAGAGAUUAGACGUUCCCUUCGGGGACAUGGAUACAGGUGGUGCAUGGUUGUCGUCAGCUCGUGUCGUGAGAUGUUGGGUUAAGUCCCGCAACGAGCGCAACCCUUAUUAUCAGUUGCCAGCAUUAAGUUGGGCACUCUGGUGAGACUGCCGGUGACAAACCGGAGGAAGGUGGGGAUGACGUCAAAUCAUCAUGCCCCUUAUGACCUGGGCUACACACGUGCUACAAUGGAUGGUACAACGAGUUGCGAACUCGCGAGAGUAAGCUAAUCUCUUAAAGCCAUUCUCAGUUCGGAUUGUAGGCUGC